UACGUAGGGUGCGAGCGUUGUCCGGAAUUACUGGGCGUAAAGAGCUCGUAGGUGGUUUGUCGCGUUGUUCGUGAAAACUCACAACUCAAUUGUGGGCGUGCGGGCGAUACGGGCAGACUGGAGUACUGCAGGGGAGACUGGAAUUCCUGGUGUAGCGGUGAAAUGCGUAGAUAUCGGGAGGAACACCAGUGGCGAAGGCGACUACCUGGCCUGUUCUUGACGCUGAGGCGCGAAAGCUGAGGGGAGCCAAACGGG
rnacentral:rRNA from 1 species